GACGAACGCUGGCGGCGUGCCUAAUACAUGCAAGUCGAACGAGAGCGACCGGUGCUUGCACUGGUCAAUCUAGUGGCGAACGGGUGAGUAACACGUGGGUAACCUGCCCAUCAGAGGGGGAUAACAUCCGGAAACGGAUGCUAAAACCGCAUAGGUCUUCGAGCCGCAUGGCUUGAAGAGGAAAAGAGGCGCAAGCUUCUGCUGAUGGAUGGACCCGCGGUGCAUUAGCUAGUUGGUGAGGUAACGGCUCACCAAGGCCGUGAUGCAUAGCCGACCUGAGAGGGUGAUCGGCCACAUUGGGACUGAGACACGGCCCAAACUCCUACGGGAGGCAGCAGUAGGGAAUCUUCCGCAAUGGACGCAAGUCUGACGGAGCAACGCCGCGUGAGUGAAGAAGGUUUUCGGAUCGUAAAACUCUGUUGUUAGAGAAGAACAAGUGCUAGAGUAACUGUUAGCGCCUUGACGGUAUCUGACCAGAAAGCCACGGCUAACUACGUG
rnacentral:rRNA from 1 species